rnacentral:rRNA from 1 species
GGACGAACGCUGGCGGCGUGCCUAAUACAUGCAAGUUGAGCGAUGAAGAUUGGUGCUUGCCCCAAUUUGAAGAGCAGCGAACGGGUGAGUAACGCGUGGGGAAUCUGCCUUUGAGCGGGGGACAACAUUUGGAAACGAAUGCUAAUACCGCAUAACAACUUUAAACAUAAGUUUUAAGUUUGAAAGAUGCAAUUGCAUCACUCAAAGAUGAUCCCGCGUUGUAUUAGCUAGUUGGUGAGGUAAAGGCUCACCAAGGCGAUGAUACAUAGCCGACCUGAGAGGGUGAUCGGCCACAUUGGGACUGAGACACGGCCCAAACUCCUACGGGAGGCAGCAGUAGGGAAUCUUCGGCAAUGGACGAAAGUCUGACCGAGCAACGCCGCGGGAGUGAAGAAGGUUUUCGGAUCGUAAAACUCUGUUGGUAGAGAAGAACGUUGGUGAGAGUGGAAAGCUCAUCAAGUGACGGUAACUACCCAGAAAGGGACGGCUAACUACGUG